GACGAACGCUGGCGGCGUGCCUAACACAUGCAAGUAGAACGGAAAGGCCCUGCCUUUGUGGGGUGCUCGAGUGGCGAACGGGUGAGUAACACGUGAGUAACCCCCCCUUGACAUUGGGAUAACUCCAGGUAACUGCGGCUAACACCCGAUAGGAGCUCCUGCUGCAUGGUGGGGGCUGGAAAGCUCCGGCGGUUGGGGAUGGACUCGCGGCUUAGCAGUUUGUUGGUGGAGUAGUGGCUUACCAAGGCUUUGACGGGUAGCCGGCCUGUGAGGGUGAACAGCCACAUUGCGCCUGCGGUACGCACCAGACUCCUACGGGAGGCAUGAGGCGCGAGUCUGACACAAUGGGCGGGAGCGUGGGGCGGCAGCGCGGCGUUCGGGAUGACGGCCUUCGCGUUGUAAACCGCUUUCGCCUGUGACGGGGCGUGAGUGACGGUACUGUGUAAAGAAGCACCGGCUAACUACGUG
rnacentral:rRNA from 1 species